rnacentral:rRNA from 1 species
AAGGUCACGGCGAGACGAGCCGUUUAGCAUUAAUGAUAGGUGCCAAGUAGAAGUACAGUAAUGUAUGUAGCUGAGGCAUCCUAACAGACCGUAGACUUGAAC